rnacentral:tRNA from 1 species
GGGCCGAAGUUCGCGAUUAGGAUGCGAGACUGGACUUUUAAUCCAGACACAUCGCGGGUUCGAAUCCCGCUCGGCCCU